AAGGAGCUGCGCAGCCAAUGAUCUUGAUCACAGUCCUUGGCCCGGCCCAGUAUCUAGGAUUCCACUGGUCUCAGCUUCAGGUUGAUCGGCGUCUUCUCCUAAGUGGGAAACAGACAGAGAGGUGGACCCUUGGAAGGCCUGCUGGAACUGAGAAGAGGGUUCAGGUUCUGUGUGGGGGAGAGCAAGGGAGACAGCCUGGCUUGCUGUGAGUGGAGAGAGAGGCAGGGGCUGGCUUGGGGCCCUCACCUGAAGAACUUGGACACUCGUGCCACAGCUCUCUGGAAGCGGCUCCUCCAGGACCUUGUGCAAGGAGCAGGCUCCCUGGUCUCUCUUGGGCCCCUGGAUGAGUUCUCCUUGGUGUGAGCAGUGGCCACACCUUCCGUCCCUGUCUGAAAAAGAGAGUUAAGGUCGCACUCAGUCCCAACAUGGCUGCUGCCCACAACCACAUUCGGCUACUGUGAUGUGUAUGUGCACAGCUAGUCGAGGUGCCAAGGAGGAUCGACAAGAGGGGCUACCUGUCCUGUUCACACCCCAGUCCCCCCUGGAAGGUCUUCCAGGUCACAUAGUAAGAGACUUACCAGCUGAGGAUGCCCAACCAAGUGCAUGACGAUCAUGCUCCCCGGAGUGUCUCUUCCGCUGGAGUGACUCCUAGGACUUCUUGCAGUGAUCUGUGGAGCUGACCUCUCUGCUGAGUAUAAAUGCUAAGCACGCCCAGUCACAGUGCCUGCCUACUCUGACCUGGCCUGCGCCUGCCCACUCUGUCCCAGUUCAGGGCUCUCCACUCUGCCCCUCCCUGUGCCUGCCCAUUCUGCCGCUUCCCAUGCCUGCCCACUCUGCCCCUGCCCAUGGUUCCUGCCUACUUCAGUAGGGUACAUUCAGCCCAACCAGUGGAUACAGUUUUGAUAAGUGACCUCUUUUCUUUUCCUGUGUUUCUCACUCCCACCUCUCCAAGGUUCAUUCCUCCCUUCCAUUCCCAUUGUAUCUCAAUCUCCUCUUUGUUCCUCCCAAAGUUCUCUUCCAACCUCACUUAGACUUUCCCACUCCCCUCUGUCUCUCUGUCUUUCUCUUUCUCCACUCCCCAUUCCCCCAGCUCUUCACCUCUUCUGUCCCACUAGGAGGCUCCAAGCAUGCUCUCUUCCUGAGCAGAGAUGCACUGAGGCGUCCCACUGUGAGAAGAAAGCAUGCCUAUGUUUUAGCCAUACCUCACUUGGGGUAACACUACUUGAUCCUGUGACCUCAGUAGACUUCCCUUGUCCCAGUGUGCACCAGUCAGGUUUCCUAGAUUCUUUCCUUUGUCCUAGAGAAUGUUCUAGGGCCACUUAAACAAUUUAUGUUGUGCCUCAAGCAGAUGCCACAACCAUAGAACUCUCGCCAUAGAGUCUGUGCUGGGUUUCACACACUGAGUUGUGAAAUCUUGUAGGUGAAGUCAUGAGGGAUGCUUAUGAUGAAACUGUGGCAUUUUUGUGGCAUGGAAGGCUACUCAAUGCAUUUGUAGCUUCACAGAGUGGAGGAAAACGGAGAAUGCUGUCUUUUGCCUUUGACAAAAUUGCUGUGUAAAGGUAUCUGAGGUCAUAGGCCAUCACUUUUCUUCAAUGGUCCCCAGGGGCAUCACUACAGAGUUGAAGGUGGACCUGGAGUGGGAGAGACUUUGGGGGAAGAUUUGGAGAGAUGCUUGCCUUGGAGCUGACUGGAGGUGAAAUUUGCCAGAAAAACCUUUCUCUCCAGAUCGGCCAUCUCUAGUCUCUGAGGUGCUGACCAGCAGCCCUGGGCGGUGUGCAAACAGGUGUGCCCACUGCCCUAGCGGGCAGGGUGUCAGCAGAGCCUAUUCAAAGAGGCAGUGAGCCCAGAGUGUUCAUAUGUACUAUCCGUUUUUUACCCAAGCACUGCAGUGGAGUUUAGAAAUCACCAUGUACAUUUUAGCCCAAAGCUCACAACUGUCAUGGUUCCCUCUCCGAAGUGAAUGUGUUUCCUUGCCCUCCACGUGUCCGUCCCUUUCCUGUCCAUGGAUCCAACCUCCUGCAAAGACCCCUAUGCUAAUGAGGAGAAAGGCCCACCUUUUGGUCCUGCAACCAAAGGUUCCUUGGCCUGCACGUGCUGACAUCCUGAGCUACCACCAGGGGGCAGAACAAGAUGGGAGAACUGUCUCAGACAGAACCCCUGAGCUGUCUCUGAUGCAGCAUCUGGAUGAGGUUUCCAGGAGCCAGGAAUCAGUCCUAAGCUAAGGGCUCAUGCCAAGAUUUUUUCCUGUAAACUGCCUGAAGACAGGGCCAGGUUGGGAGGUGAUAAUAUCUGCAGUGAUGCUUGAGGGACUGACUCCCAUGGGGAGGCCUGCAGGUCCAUUGCCUUACCAGCAUGGCAAUGUGGAAUUUGGCUGCCUAAGCAGGAUAAGUAGUAUCUGUCACUGUCUCAAGGUAGUAUACCCGUGUCAGUCACUUGACACCAUGGAUUCAGGAACAGCAGAAGGUCAGGUCAUUUUCUGCCACAGGACACUUCUCUGUCUGCCUUAGACUGAAUGAUUUCUCCUCACAAUUUUUGCUGUUGUUGUUUUGAAGCCUUGACCCAGAGCCUAAUGGGUUUGGAACCUUUAGUGUGGAAUUAAGAUGGACCUUAGUCAUAGGUAGGAAGCUAGCUGACUUAAAAGGAUUAAUGGUAUCAUGUGAGGAGACACCAGAGGACAUGCUCUGCACAUGCACGGAUGCUUGAAGGAGAUGCCGUGUGACGACUCGGUGAGAAGAAGACUAAGCUAGAAUGUUCCACAGAAGCCAAGCCGGGAAACACUUGGAUCUUUGACUUGCCAGCUUGCAGAACCAUCAGGAAAUAAAUCUCUGUUGUUCC
rnacentral:lncRNA from 1 species